CUCCCCACUUACAUUUCCAACGACGAGCUGCUUCGUCUUCCCCCAAUUCUUCCAUUUCAACGUUCCUCUCUUCUACCUCCUUAUACAGAAGAAAAGUGUUCUGUCUCGAGAACCCAAAUUUCACCGUUCCCCCAAUUCUUCCGUUCUUCGUUACCCGCGAUCGACACUUCGUUACCCGCGAUCGACGCCUCGAGAACCCAAAUUUCCAACGACGAGCUUCCUCGAGAACCCAAGUAUUCUACAAACAUGUCUUCCGCUUCGUUACGAAUAUAUAUCAUGGCUCAGAUCCUCAUUCCCACAUCCCUAAUUUCCAAAUCAACCCAUCGUCUAAUCCCCCGGCGACGACUGAUCCCUACGCUGCGAAAAGUGUUCGGCGUCACUGAGAGGCGAAGGUCGUCGGUCGUCGGCGUCCCUGCUAAUUCCCACUAUUUUGUUAUCAUCGAGCAGAAUAUGUUUGAUUACAUAGAUGUUCCUCCAGUGGGAAGUAUAAACUCCAUGAGAAUCUGUGGAUAAUUCAAAUAUUGAGACAGAAGGUCCUUUUUUUACAGGAAGAAGUUAGACUAUGUCCAUCUUGACAAAUUUUGAAUGUCACGAUGAGGUGUAAGGCGGUAACAUUUGUUUCAAGCGAGCCUCUGCCUCCUGAGUUCUCACAUGUUCUUGAAUUUAGGGAAGUAAAGUAUAAUCUAUAUAGCCACAGUUUUCUUCAUCUUGGACAGGUGAGUUUCAACCUGUAUUAUUAUUCAAAAUUUAUAAUUGCACUAUUUACUUCCAUUACACCCUUUGCAUCUUGAAGCUGUAAACAUUCCUUCUUCUGCAAGGAGCGGGAGGGGGCUGACCCAAACUUUUAGCUUGGCAUCUGAUUAGACCCAUCCAAGUGGCUGACUUUAGGUCAUCUUACACCUAGAUUUAUGUUAAACUAGACUGACCAUCCAGGCCACACCUUUAUUGAUGGGAGGCUGGUGGCAGAUGAGAAAAAAUUAGAUGGAAGGUAAUGGAAAGAUUGACUAAUUACCACGAUGAAAGCUGUUGCCUUUAGAGGGAUACUUGGUGAUUAAUUAUUAAUAGAACAAUCCAAAGCAGCUGGCAAUGCAUUGCUUAUAUAAAAGAAACUUCGCAUGUGUAGCGGUUUGUCUUU